rnacentral:rRNA from 1 species
UACGUAGGGUGCAAGCGUUAAUCGGAAUUACUGGGCGUAAAGCGUGCGCAGGCGGUUUUGUAAGUCUGUCGUGAAAUCCCCGGGCUCAACCUGGGAAUGGCGUUUGAAACUACGGAGCUGGAGUGUGGCAGAGGGAGGUAGAAUUCCACGUGUAGCGGUGAAAUGCGUAGAUAUGUGGAGGAAUACCGAUGGCGAAGGCAGCCUCCUGGGCCAACACUGACGCUCAUGCACGAAAGCGUGGGGAGCAAACAGG